rnacentral:lncRNA from 1 species
ACGGUUAUGAGCUUGGUGGCUAGAGAGAGGUUUUGCAGAAGCCCACUUGUGUAAAUGUGAGCAUGGAGUUGUUUAAGUUCUCUGAGGUUGGUGCAAUUGUCAAAGAUGGAGUUGUAGGUGACAGAAGAUAGGUGGCUAAUGUAGAGAGGAGGAGAGAAGAGAGAGAAAGAGGUAAGAGAUGAGAGUCUUAUUGGGGCUUUAGAGAGAGAGGGAAGGAUGGGUAAAAGGCUUUUGAUGAGGUUGAGGGCAUAUGCCAUUUCAUUGGGUGAAGUGUUUGGGUAAAUGUUGGUUUGAGGACUGAGAAAGAGUUGGUCCAUGACCCCUCAAAGCUGGGGUAUUGGAGUUUGGACCAUGGAGAGAAAUCAGAUGGAGCCUAAAGUCUACCACAUGAGUUUGGUUUCAAGAGAGAGAUGAAUUUGGAAACAUGAAUGAGAGAGAGUACACAAUUAAGUGUCAGCCACAGUGAGAAAAUACACACCCAAGUUGAUUGAUUAGUCACAUGGUAAGAAUCAUAAUACAAAGGAAAAGAGGACAUGAGAUUAGAGAAUGACACAGAAAGCAAUAAAGCUCAUAACAGAGAGUACAAUUUAAGAUGAUGUCACAUGGGGAAAGAACCAAGAGAACCUGGUAUAUUGGAAUGUCUCUGUACAUAUUCUCUGAUGAUGACAGCUACAGUAUAACCCCUAAGGAGCAUAGUACAGGGUCCUGUUUUAUUUCCUGUGUUUGGUACGGAAACU